GAGGCGUGGCAAGCAGAGUAAAGGCUGGAGUUUGGAGGCGGGGCUAAGAAGGAGGUAGUACUGUAUAGAGCAGAAGAAACAGGAGCGCUCCCUGUGUUAACAAUGCAGCACCCAGUCUUGUGCAUGAUCACUAAGAAGUGUGCUUUGCUGAAUUCAAUGUGAUUGCUUCUCUCAGUCUCAAGUAAGCAUGUACGGCUGAAAGCCUGUGCAAAUCUAUCUGGGAGUAAGCUCAAAGUGAUCGACAUGUGAAUUAACAUGCAUGGGAUUGGGCUGUUAGAGAGGCAGAAGAAUUCCAGGGAGCCUCUCCUGUGCCUGAAAAAGUUAUGUCAUUGUCAAGUGUGUGCGUCUAGAGCCAAUAUGGUUCCGUGGGUAGAGAGCUGGAACUGGAUUCAAGAUCAGAACUGCCCAGGCCCAGGCGUGAAAUACCCCUGCCCCCUCCUGGCAAGUUCCAGAGCAAUAGCUUCACAAGAACAGUCAGCCGGACACAUUUUUGCAGUUCUGAGAGUGGAUGGCUUUGUUCCAAAUGAUGAAAUGAUUCAAUAAAGCAAUGCCAAAUUAUAUAAAAA